rfam:Ricinus communis ctg_1100012355931, whole genome shotgun sequence.
UCGUCAAAUGAGGAAUUUGGAUAUUACUUCUCACGACGGUCGUCUGAGAUACUAUGCUAGUGUUGAAGUUGACAUAAUCCAAUGCUUCUGAUGAUU